rnacentral:siRNA from 1 species
GCAAUGAUAGAUUGGGUUUGCUG